GUGUGGGGUAGUGGCAGUUCGUGUGACACCCCAUAGGAAUGUUUCACAUCCUGACUGGAAUCUCCUCUACAAUAAGUAUGAGGAUUCUGUAUAUCGGAUAUAACUAUUAUAUAUAAUAAAAAUAUAAAUUAUUGAAUUGAUGUGGUAUUAUAAUAUGUUCACUAAUAUCUUGAAUGCAUUUCCUUAUUAAGCCUUUUGCAAAAUGAAUACAGAGAAUCGGUUGAGGCUUAUGGUGAUGCAUUGUGGC
rnacentral:lncRNA from 1 species